rnacentral:rRNA from 1 species
UACGGAGGGGGCUAGCGUUGUUCGGAAUUACUGGGCGUAAAGCGCACGUAGGCGGAUCAGUAAGUUAGAGGUGAAAGCCCAGGGCUCAACCCUGGAACUGCCUUUGAUACUGCUGGUCUGGAGGUCGAGAGAGGUGAGUGGAAUUCCGAGUGUAGAGGUGAAAUUCGUAGAUAUUCGGAGGAACACCAGUGGCGAAGGCGGCUCACUGGGGCUUUUCUGACGCUGAGGAACGAAAGCCAGGGUAGCGAACGGG